rnacentral:rRNA from 1 species
AUUGAACGCUGGCGGCAGGCCUAACACAUGCAAGUCGAACGGUAACAGGAAACAGCUUGCUGUUUCGCUGACGAGUGGCGGACGGGUGAGUAAUGUCUGGGAAACUGCCUGAUGGAGGGGGAUAACUACUGGAAACGGUAGCUAAUACCGCAUAACGUCGCAAGACCAAAGAGGGGGACCCUCGGGCCUCUUGCCAUCGGAUGUGCCCAGAUGGGAUUAGCUUGUUGGUGGGGUAACGGCUCACCAAGGCGCCGAUCCCUAGCUGGUCUGAGAGGAUGACCAGCCACACUGGAACUGAGACACGGUCCAGACUCCUACGGGAGGCAGCAGUGGGGAAUAUUGCACAAUGGGCGCAAGCCUGAUGCAGCCAUGCCGCGUGUAUGAAGAAGGCCUUCGGGUUGUAAAGUACUUUCAGCGGGGAGGAAGGGAGUAAAGUUAAUACCUUUGCUCAUUGACGUUACCCGCAGAAGAAGCACCGGCUAACUCCGUG